UACGUAGGGCGCAAGCGUUGUCCGGAAUUAUUGGGCGUAAAGAGCUCGUAGGCGGUCUGUCGCGUCGGAUGUGAAAGCUCGAGGCUUAACCUCGGGUCUGCAUCCGAUACGGGCAGACUAGAGGCAGGUAGGGGAGAACGGAAUUCCUGGUGUAGCGGUGAAAUGCGCAGAUAUCAGGAGGAACACCGGUGGCGAAGGCGGAUCUCUGGGCCAUUACUGACGCUGAGGAGCGAAAGCGUGGGGAGCGAACAGG
rnacentral:rRNA from 1 species